rnacentral:tRNA from 1 species
UGGUAAGAAGAGGACUUAAACCUCUAUUCUUGGUGCUACAAACCACCGCCUCUUGCCUUCAGCCAUCUUACC